ensembl:snoRNA small nucleolar RNA SNORA41
GCCCACAGCUACUGAUCUGCAGCUGCUGUCAAUCGUAGCAGCUGUGGCAUUCCGCUGUGGGAAAGGAAGUGUUAUCCAAGAAGAAAGUCUUUGUGAAUGACAGACAGGG